rnacentral:rRNA from 1 species
CCUACGGGGGGCAGCAGUAGGGAAUCUUUCACAAUGGGCGAAAGCCUGAUGGAGCAACGCCGCGUGCAGGAUGAAGGCCUUCGGGUUGUAAACUGCUUUUAUAAGCGAGAAAUAUGAUGGUAACUUAUGAAUAAGGAUCGGCUAACUACGGGCCAGCAGCCGCGGUCAUACGUAGGAUCCGAGCAUUAUCCGGAGUGACUGGGUGUAAAGAGUUGCGUAGGUUGCAUAAUAAGUAGCUAGUGAAAUCUGGUGGCUCAACCAUUCAGACUAUUAGCGAAACUGUUAAGCUCGAGACCGUUAGGGGUAACUGGAAUUUCUAGUGUAGGAGUGAAAUCCGUAGAUAUUAGAAGGAACACCAAUAGCGUAGGCAGGUUGCUGGGACGGUUCUGACACUAAGGCACGAAAGCGUAGGGAGCAAACGGGAUUAGAUACCCUUGUAGUC